rnacentral:rRNA from 1 species
AGAGUUUGAUCCUGGCUCAGAAUCAACGCUGGCGGCGUGCCUAACACAUGCAAGUCGAGCGAGAAAGUGGUAGCAAUACCAUGAGUAAAGCGGCGCACGGGUGAGUAACACGUGACUAACCUACCCUCGAGUGGGGAAUAACUUCGGGAAACCGAGGCUAAUACCGCAUAAUACCCACGGGUCAAAGGAGUAAUCCGCUUGAGGAGGGGGUCGCGGCCGAUUAGUUAGUUGGCGGGGUAAUGGCCCACCAAGACGAUGAUCGGUAUCCGGCCUGAGAGGGCGCACGGACACACUGGAACUGAAACACGGUCCAGACUCCUACGGGAGGCAGCAGUGGGGAAUUUUGCGCAAUGGGGGAAACCCUGACGCAGCAACGCCGCGUGGAGGAUGAAGUCCUUCGGGACGUAAACUCCUUUCGAUCGGGACGAUAAUGACGGUACCGGAAGAAGAAGCCCCGGCUAACUUCGUGCCAGCAGCCGCGGUAAUACGAGGGGGGCGAGCGUUGUUCGGAAUUAUUGGGCGUAAAGGGUGCGUAGGCGGUUUGGUAAGUCUCUUGUGAAAUCUAUGGGCUCAACUCAUAGUCUGCAAGGGAAACUGCCGGGCUUGAGUGUGGGAGAGGUGAGUGGAAUUUCCGGUGUAGCGGUGAAAUGCGUAGAUAUCGGAAGGAACACCUGUGGCGAAAGCGGCUCACUGGACCACAACUGACGCUGAUGCACGAAAGCUAGGGGAGCAAACAGGAUUAGAUACCCUAGUAGUCC